GAGCGGCAGGGGCCGCUUACGUCACGUCGGAGAGGAAAUGCGAUGCCGGGGUGAAAGGGCUCAGACGGCCCGACGGCUUCCGUAACAGGCACGGGGCGGCGCUAGGGAGACGUCCGGGAAUGAUUGGCAUCCGUGCGUAGGAGACCCAGGCGGAGAAAGCCGCUGGAUUGGCUGACCUCCCUGCCACGGGACACGACGAUUGGCCCUACUCGGUGCCGGAAGUGAUGAGGCCGCGGUCUGGAAACAAGGUUGUUGUCGAAGGAGCCAGAAGGUGGGAGCCGGCUUGUACCGGCUGGCCUUGCGCUGCGGACGCGAGGUCGUGUGUCGCCUGUGAGCCUGUGUGAGCUUCGAGAAUGUGUGUCUCUAGCCGGCAGGAGGCUCUUGCAGGAGCAAAGGCAGCCGGGAUGAUGGCCGCGAAGGAGAAAGGCGGCCUCGGCCCCCACCCGCGAUCCGGCUCUUUCCUGGAGGUGUUCCUGGACUGCGCUUCGCUCCGAGUCCCGUGAGCCACGUUAGCAACCGGGAUGUGGUGAGCUCCAGACUCUGCCCGGAGGUUUCCUUAGACACCGCGCGCGCUUCAGCCGCCUCCCUUCCCCGGCUCCAGAACUUCACCGCGAUGGUUCAUGAAACAACAACAACAACAAAAAAAAAGGUUGACGAACCUCAGAGCUAGGCAGCAAAGUCGCAUCGUCAUGUGCCUGAUUGUUUGAAUUUACAGAACGCGGAAAAAGUUUAAUGAUGGUUUGCGUUAGUAGUGAUUUGGUUUGCAAACGAGCUAAAAAUUCGAAUCCCAGCGCUGUAGUGACCGAGACAGGCGUAUCCGGAGCUCAGAGUACAUUGUUGUGAACAUUUCGAGUUCAAGAUUUGAGUUCCAUGAAACCUUUGUCUCAGAAAAAUGCAUAAAGUAAUUGUGACGAGUCUGAUAUGUUGGUAUAGGCUUUUUAUCCCGGUACUUAGGCAGAGGCAGGCUGGAUCUCUGAGUUCCGGGCCAGCUAGGGCUACACAGUGAAAGCCAAUUUCAUAAUAUAAUAAAAUAUAAAAUAACAAGUAACCAGGGCUGGAGAGAUGGCUCGGCGGCUAAGAGCACGUGCUGCCCUUCUCGGCACCCACCUCAGACAGCUUCACAGCCACCUUCAGAGGACUUGACAUCUUCUGACUUUUCAGGAACUCACACCCGAGUAGAGUACUCACACAUAUAGACUACAUAUAAAUCUUUUAAAGUAAAUGGGACCUGGGGAGAUGACCUGUCGGUCAAAAGCACUCACUGGCUGCUCUUCCAGAGGAUCUGGGUUCGAUUCCCGGCAUCUGUAACUCCUGUUCUAGAAGAUCUAACAUUGUCUAGGGGCUCCCCAAACAUGCACUAGUACACAUACAUAUACACAGAAAAAAAAUACGCUUCUGCACAGAAAAAAAUCUACAAAAAAAAAGUUUUAAGUAGUCAAACUUCCAGCCUUGUCCUAUUUAAAGAGCAUCUGUGUAUUUGUGAACCAGAAAAGCUAAGUGACUAAAAUCAAUAUUUAUACUUCUUUGUUUUGUUUUGUUUUUGACUUUUGGGGUUUUGUUUGUUUGUUUGAGACAAGUUUUCUCUGUGGAGCCCUGGCCUUCCUGGAAAUAGUUCUGUAGAGGGUUUGGGUGUUUUGUUUUGUUUGUCUGUAUAAACAAAGUCUUUACAGAGCACAGAUUAUGAAAUCAUGGGAUUGCACAUCCCGGAGUGAUGGGACCUUAGAGGUGACCUUUCUUCCCUAUUUGAAGCAAAUACAGAGUUUAGAGGACAUGGAACAACAGAUGGUGUCAAUUUCAUCAACAUGGGACGAAGAGGAUGUGAAACCUGUAAAAUACAUGAGCGCCUACAUAAAGAAAAGCUGUCUGCUGGAGUGUACUGUGUGUAUAUUGUGUGGGAAGGCAGAGGACCUCUUUGUGGAGUUAGUUCUCUCCUUCGAACUUUAAUGUUUCAAGGAUCAUAGACUCCAGGGCUGGAGAGAUGGCUCGAGCGCUAGCUGCUCUUCCAGAAGUCCUGAGUUCAGUUCCCAGCAACCACAUGGUGGCUCACAACCAUCUCUGGUGAGUUCUGAUGCCCUGUUCCGGUGUGUCUGAGGACAGCUACAGUGUACUCAUAUACAUUAAUAAAUCUUUUUUAAAAAUACUCAUGUUUUACCUGCUGCUGUGCCAUUGUCCCAGCCCAGAGAU
rnacentral:lncRNA from 1 species